CUACGGGGGGCUGCAGUGGGGAAUAUUGCACAAUGGAGGAAACUCUGAUGCAGCAACGCCGCGUGGAGGAUGACACUUUUCGGAGCGUAAACUCCUUUUAUAUAGGAAGAAGAUGACGGUACUAUAUGAAUAAGCGCCGGCUAACUCCGUGCCAGCAGCCGCGGUAAUACGGAGGGCGCAAGCGUUACUCGGAAUCACUGGGCGUAAAGAGCGUGUAGGCGGAUUAAAAAGUCAGAAGUGAAAUCCUAUAGCUUAACUAUAGAACUGCUUCAGAAACUCUUAAUCUAGAAUAUGGGAGAGGUAGAUGAAAUUUCUGGUGUAGGGGUAAAAUCCGUAGAGAUCAGAAGGAAUACCGAUUGCGAAGGCGAUCUACUAGAACAUUAUUGACGCUGAGACGCGAAAGCGUGGGGAGCAAACAGGAUUAGAUACCCUAGUAGUC
rnacentral:rRNA from 1 species